GAUGAACGCUGGCGGCGUGCCUAAUACAUGCAAGUCGAGCGAACAGACGAGGAGCUUGCUCCUCUGACGUUAGCGGCGGACGGGUGAGUAACACGUGGAUAACCUACCUAUAAGACUGGGAUCACUUCGGGAAACCGGAGCUAAUACCGGAUAAUAUAUUGAACCGCAUGGUUCAAUAGUGAAAGACGGUUUUGCUGUCACUUAUAGAUGGAUCCGCGCCGCAUUAGCUAGUUGGUAAGGUAACGGCUUACCAAGGCAACGAUGCGUAGCCGACCUGAGAGGGUGAUCGGCCACACUGGAACUGGGACACGGUCCAGAGUCCUACGGGAGGCAGCAGUAGGGAAUCUUCGGCAAUGGGCGAAAGCCUGACGGAGCAACGCCGCGUGAGUGAUGAAGGUCUUCGGAGCGUAAAACUCUGUUAUGAGGGAAGAACAAAUGUGUAAGUAACUAAGCACGUCGUGACGGUACCUAAUCAGAAAGCCACGGCUAACUACGUG
rnacentral:rRNA from 1 species